rnacentral:rRNA from 1 species
GACAGAGGUGCCGAGCGUUAGGCGGAAUCACUGGGCUUAAAGCGUGUGUAGGCGGACUGGUAAGUACCUUGUGAAAUCCCACGGCUCAACCGUGGAACUGCUUGGUAUACUGCUUGUCUUGUGCAACCUAGGGGCGAGCGGAACAGAUGGUGGAGCGGUGAAAUGCGUAGAUAUCAUCUGGAACGCCAAUGGUGAAAACAGCUCGCUGGGGGUUUGCAGACGCUGAGACACGAAAGCCAGGGGAGCAAACGGG